rnacentral:rRNA from 1 species
GACAGAGGGUGCAAACGUUGCUCGAAAUCACUGGGCGUAAAGGGCGUGUAGGCGGGAAUGUAAGUCGGGCGUGAAAUCCCUAGGCUCAACCUAGGAACUGCACUCGAAACUGCGUUUCUUGAGUACUGGAGAGGAAAGCGGAAUACCUGGUGUAGAGGUGAAAUUCGUAGAUAUCAGGUGGAACACCAGCGGCGAAGGCGGCUUUCUGG